rnacentral:lncRNA from 1 species
UUGGUUAGAGUCUCGUGUUGAUAACGUAUUAUAAAAUAAUAAAAGAAGAAGAAGAGUAUUACAGAACAAAGUACAGAGAAAGGGAAUUCUUAUAGAUAUGGGAUGAUUUACAAUGAAAUAGAACCCUCUAUUUAUAUGGAGAAGGUGACUUAGCCACCAAGUAAUAAACCCUAAAAUCUAUUUAAAUAUAGACAUUCACCAUAAAUAAAAUUCUAUUUAUAACAUAGUUAACGUAUUUCUUAAAUACAUAAGAAAUUUGACCAAAAGCUAUUAACUCAAUGGUAAAUACGUCCCUGUGGAUAAGCAUCAUUACCAUCUGUUGGGAAGAGUAAAAACGUUCGAACGUGAACAUCAUUUGGCCAGGUGGUGGGUAGUCAUUCAUGUCAUGGAAAACUUGAAUCAAAUGGGAAAUGACUUUAAAGUUACACCACUAAAUUUUCUGUAAGUUCAGUUCUAGCUCUACUGAAACAUGCCAAGUGCUCCAUUUCCUGCUUCCUCGCCAAUCUAGAAGAAAGCAAUUGACAUGAAAUCAAAUAGACGAUUUUUUUUAUAAGACGAUGUUGCACCCAAGCUUUCUAGUGUACUGAAACAUUGAUCAUCAAGCUUUAUUUUCUAUCUUAGCCAAGUUUUUAAACAAGUAAAUAGGAAUGGUGGGAUUAUACAUUAAAGUCAAUAGUAGCUUUAGCAAACACGACAAGUAAAUAAGGACGGACGGAACAUAUACCGCCGAAGGAACAUAUGUACUUUCAUAGUGUGAAAAAUAUUUACUGUAAAUAAAUGAUCAACUGUAAUGCAUUUCAGAAGAUGGAAAGACAUGCAGUAGUAGUCUCUAACAACAAAUGCUAGAAAGAAUUAAGUACUAUAACUAGCUAAAAAUCAAUAAGAUAUUUAGAUACCAACCAGUCCUCAGUUAUUGAUCAAUUUUUCAACCUUUUCUCAUAUUAUGCAUUAGAAUGUUUGGUACGUACAAUUUGGUUGAUAGGCACUUAUAACUCGUCCCAUAUAUACUCAUCACAUAGCCUGACUACUACGAAUGCAUUUAAUUAGUCUGCUUUAACGGUAGACCAAAAACAUAUCCCUUAUACUUUAAUGGAAAUGUCAGACAUUAAUCAUGAGCCUACUUUCCUGCCCUCUCUCUACAAUCUUCUUGUACUGUAAUGUGAAAUCACCCAUCUGCAGUGAUUAAGUGUGAAAAUGCACAAGUCUUUUUUCCCACUCCCAAAAACUAGGGUCUACUCAUAGUGUCAUAUUAUACCUACAUUUACCUGUACCCAGCAGCUCAUCAACUGUUGAGUCCCAUCAGCAUCCAUCGUGAUAUUUGCACUAAUUAAGCGAACACUAGCUCACAAAGAUUACAGAGCGCACACAUGAAAAACAUUAAAGAGGAGCAGGUCAUAUGAUGUCUCAUUUGACUUGAGUUAAUAUUGGACUUAACUGUCCGACUACUACUUUCUUUUUACAUAAUUAAAGAAUUUUUAUAUUAUUAAUUAUCUACUCAACAAAUUAAUUGUUGACAAAAAGUGAAUUAGUAAUCUCAAAAAUAAAGUAAGUUACCUAUUAGAACAUGUUAUAAUAUACUGGUAGCGUAAAACAGCCUCAUCUUUCUGGUACCAGGAAAUUCGAAUCCAUUCAAACCCAACACUUUCUUAGUUUGGUUAAAAUAGUGAUGAAACAAAGAGAUGUUUUACGAGAAAUAAUACUUUCUCUGUUGAAAAAAUGAUUGGACUACUUCCUUAUUAAUCCGUUUCAAAAAGAUUGGCAUGAUCUACACAAAUACUAUCACAAGUUUUAAGACCACAAAUUUCAAAAAUUUUACAACUACACAAAUAUUAUGGCUUUUAUAAAGACUAUGUAUCUCAAAAGUUUUUCCUUAUUUAUUAAAUUAAACUAGGACAAUCUUUUUAAAACGGAAGGAGUAACGAACAAAAACGCAUCCCUGCCUAUUUUUCUUACCACAUGGGAAAGAUCAGCUGCAUCUUUCUGUAUCUCUUUAACCAUAGAGUUGCAUUAAGAGCAUCAAAAAGUGUCAUAUAUAUACAUAUGGGGCUACGUAGCAAAGGAGGUAAUGGGAAAAAGGACUAAAUAAAGUUAAAACAUGAAAUACAUGAACAAAUUCUGAAAAUUAGGGUUCUUAGCUCCAUGUAACAUUGUCAAGUCGAGGAUAGUUGUUCCAUUAUUCCUAGAAGAAACUUGAGCUAGCCUUGAAGCAUUAGAUUUUUUUUUUUUUAAAUCGAAGGUUUAAACAAGAAAAAUAAACAUGGAUUAGAUGAAUGAUGAUGAAGAGAAAAUAACUGAAAGAAAGAAUAAUCAAGUGAACAAAAACCUGGGGAGAACAAAAACAUGAAGAACGUGUGUAAGAAGAAAGGAUCUCUCUUGUUUGAUGUAUCACGAGAGUUUUACAAAGAGAAAUCAACACAGCUCUAUUGGCAGUAUGCCCACCUCCACGUUAAUUAAACCUCCUUUUUUUUUGUCCUUUUCAUUUUCUUGGUCAUCUUCAUUUCUAAAGAAGAGGGAGGUGGACAGAAUGCCAAAGAACUCUGUAAGAAACCCUUUGCCAAACUUCCAUGAAACUGCAUAUUAUCAUCAUAGUCUCUGCAUCAUCUUUAGUUUUUCCCUCUGUCUGUAAUAAGAUGAAAGAAACAUAUACUAGAAAGUCGGCUAUGAGAGUUGGGCACUAUUUAAGAUGGUGAGAUAGGGUUGAGACUUGAGAGAGAGAGAGAGAGCAUUGAAAUUGCUGUAAAAUAAUUAAUAGGGGAGGUAGAUACUGGAGAGAAAGGGAGAGAUCAUAGUCAGAUCGGAUGUUCAUUCUUCAUUUCGGAGAGCAUAUUUAUAAAUCAAAUUUCUUGCCCCCCAAAUCCCUCGAUUCUGAUGAAGAAAAAGAAAAUAUUUUGCCCCUCAUGACCCUCGUAGUAUUAAUUUCAUCUUUCCUCAAAACCCUCGUUACUGAUGCAAACCCUUAGACUGAGGAGAAGAAAAGGAGGGGCCAAGGGGUGGAGAAUUAAGGGGAAGGGUUUAGAAUUUGGAACUGCU